rnacentral:lncRNA from 1 species
CUGUGAUAGUUUGGUUCCUUUACACAAAAUAUCUUUGCAAUUUCGUCUUGUACUGAUAAGCUAACAAGGUAAUAUAGAGAAGCAUAACAAUGUGGGAUCUUAAGAGCUAAAGAAAAACAAUGUGAGGUCUUAACAUCACAUGGCUUUUGUCAGAUCUUAACAAGUGUACAAUUAGAUGGUCCUUUAUUCUGCUAUUUUUAGUGUCAAUCUCUGAAACAUAUGAUGUGUUUGUUUUGCAGAUGGACAGCAAUAACACAGCUGGUGCAUCACGGGAUGCUAUUCGUCCCCAUAGGCUACACUUUUGGAGCAGGAAUUUUCAAGAUGGACUCCAUCCGUGGAGGGUCACCUUAUGGAGCUGGUGUGUUCGCUGGUGAUGGCUCAAGAGAAGCUACGGAGACAGAGUUGGCUCUUGCUGAACAUCAAGGAAACUACAUGGCUGCAAUUGUCAAGAGACUUGCACAACCUUGAGAAGAAAUACAAAAAACAACUUUGGUGGCUUCUUUAUUUUCUUGUUUUAUUUAAUUCUAUCCAUUUUUUUCUGAGUGUUUUUGAGUUUUGCCAUUCUCGGAAGAACAUUGAACCUAUCAUAAGGUUCUUACGUCAAUGGCCGUGUGUACAUGCUUCUUAUUUUUAUUACAAUUCUCUCUUUGAUUGUUCUCCUCCACAAAUGUGAAUUCCUGUCAAAAAUAAAAAAAGGUUUAUUGUGUGUUCUUUUAUUUGAGCUUAAUCAGUCCCAGCAUUAGUUUCUUCACUUCUCUAACUGUUAAACGAAAAAAUAUUGCAAGACAUUACACAGAUUAGUUUCCUUAAUUAGUUUCCAAUAAGAAAUCCACAAAAUAAAAGGCUCAUGUUUCUGAUUAUCAGUUCUUGAACCUUGUCUAUAUCUUCCUGACCACCAAAAUUGCUUUAAAUAAAAAUGACUGGUCAUUAACGUGUCACAUGACUAUGAACAAUGUUUCGAUCGUAACUCACCACCAAAGCAACAAGAAAAAAAAAGCACACCAUAUGUUCGGAUAAAUCUCGUUCUCGUGUGAAAAAAUGUUAGAAAAAUAAUUGCUUUAAGUAUUCAAUAAGAUAGUAAUUGCAUGGUGACAUUACAAAUUUACAAUUAUAGCUGACGUCCCACAUAAUCGCCACAAAUCAAAACUGACACAACAAAUGAAAACCUCUAAACUUGAGUCAAAACCAUAUUGACUUUUUUUUUAACUUGUUUAAAACGUACGAUUAUCCCAAGGGUCUUAACUUCUCUGCUGAAGCUCUUGUUAGACAUGAGAUCAUCUUUCCAAAGAAUCUUCUUCGCAGCAACGGUCUCACCGUUCUCAAGCUCAGCCUUGUAAAUCUUCCCAGAGCCUCCUGAACCAAUCAUGAACUCCUCGCUCAAGUUAUUUGUGGCGUCCAUGAUGUCAUCCCACUUAAUAUCUGACUUUGAAGAAGCUCAUGUUCUAAACAGAGGCUUGUGCGUAGCUUGUGAAGAUGAGCUUGAGGACGAGUAAGCAGUGCUUCCAUUCCUCACUUUCUUGAAGAAAUCAUGCCUUUGUUUGAAGAAGAUAGCGAUCACAAGUAUCAUCAAAGCAAUGGCUGCUAAUGCUGAGAUUGCUGAUAUUGUAACAACUGAUCUUGGACUAAGACCUUGCUGCUUGUUGUCUCUUCCAGAUCUAUUACAACGACUAAGAGGGCUUCCACAGAGACCUGUGUUGCCUAUAAAGGAAUCAGCUGGCCAUCUUGAGAACUGUUUCUUGAGUUUGCCUUUGAAGUUAUUGAAAGAGAGGUUGAGGUACCCCAAACUCUUCAUAUCCCCAACAGCUCCAGGAACUUCACCGGUGAGCUGAUUGUGAGACAGAUCAAGAGUCUCUAGCUUUGUCAACGUCCCAAUAGUAGAAGGAACAUCUCCAGUAAAGUUAUUGUAGCUGAGGUCUAAAGCACUUUGAAGAUCUUGAAGCUGCCCAAUCUCUAAAGGUAUCUCUCCUACUAAGCUGUUUCUUGACACCCGAAGCUCAUAUAGCUUACUAAGCUUGCCAAUACCUUGAGGAAGCGAACCUGAGAACUGGUUCUUGUCAAGGUUAAGUACAUUGAGAGCUCCCAAGUUACCAAUCUCCUGAGGGAUCGUUCCAUUGAGAAAGUUUCCAUCAAGAGACAACACAAGCAGCUUUGUACAGUUGAAUAGCUCAGCAGGUAAAGAUCCAUCAAACUGAUUAGAAGAAAGCUUCAGCUCUCCUAACUGAGAAAGCUUUCCAAGCCAUGGAGGUAUAGGCCCUGAGAGAAAGUUGUUGUUGAGAUCAAUGUGUGUCAGCUUCUUGCACAAGACUAGCUGUAAAGGAAUGGUUCCUGUAAGAGAAUUGCUUGAGAUAUCCAACAGAGAAAGCUCACGGAUCUUCCCAAACGUCCAAGGGAUUCUUCCUGUGAACUGAUUCUUGCCUAGCCUGAGACGCUCGAGAUUCGGAGAGUUCCCUAGCUGGAGAGGGAUCUCAUCUUCAAACUCAUUGUUGGUUACAUCGAACGAGAGGAACGAGGUGGAGCCACACAGUGGAAGGAUCGUACCGUUGAGGUGGUUGUGAGAGAGGUUGAUUCUCGUGAUGUUCUUGAGAUUGCUUAGUGAAUCAGGAAGGCUUCCUUGGAGAGAGUUGUUGUAAAGCAUGAACUGUUCUAAUCCUUUUAAGGAUCCGUAGGACGAAGGAAUCGAACCCGAGAGCUGGUUGUCUGCUAAGUCCAAGAUUUUGAGCUGGUGGCAGUUACCUAAAGUGGCGGGAAGUCCACCAACGAACUCGUUCUGUCUCAAGUGAAGCAAGUUAAGCUCCUUUAGGGCUCCUAUCGAAGGAGGGAUCUCUCCUUCGAAAUGAUUCCCGAAUAGAUCAAUCAUCUUCAAGCUUGUGCAGUUUCCGAUCUCUUUAGGGAUCUCACCCGAGAAACGAUUCUCGUAUAGAAACAGAACUUCUAGCUUCUUCAGCGCGGCGAUUUCGUUAGGUAACUUGCCUUCCAAGUUAUUGUGAUAUAAGACAAGCCACUGUAGGUUGGUGAGGUUUGAUAUAGAAGGAGAUAACUUGCCCUCCAAAGUAUUGUUGUGGAGAUAAAGAUCCGUUAGUUCGGUUAGCUGAAACAGUGAUUCAGGUAUGGAGCCGGUAAGAGAAUUGUUCGACAAGUCAAGCUGUUUAAGCGAUUGACAUCUGCUGAUCUCCGCGGGAACUUCACCUGAAAGCUGAGUUCCAGACAGAACCAACUGUUCCAAGUUAGUAUUGUUCGAACACAUACUCUUCGGUAAAGAACCAGAGAAACCGUUGUUUGCUAAAGCCAAAUCAAGAAGCUGACUCAUGUUCCAGAUCUCUUCAGGUAUCUCUCCGGUGAGAUUAUUCGCCGAUAAAUCGAGUGUCUGAAGAUUCUUCAGAUUAGUUAAACUCUUGGGGACAAGACCUUGAAGCUUGUUUUCCAUCAAGUUAAGGUACUCGAGUUGACUCAUCUCCCCGAGUUGACUCGGUAUCUCUCCGUCUUGAGAUGAAGAAGCCGUCCUCUCUCGCCGCCACCACCACCACCGGCGAUGGAAUCGACGACGACGGCGCCGCCAAUGCUCCGAUCCCAAUCGAGGACGAUCAGACGACGAACACCGCCGGAACAACGACCCCAUCGAUCACGGCGAGGACGAUCGCUCCGCCGCUCAAGAUCUUCGUCGUGUUCUACUCGAUGUACGGACACGUGGAGAGCUUAGCUAAGAGGAUGAAGAAGGGAGCGGACGGCGUGGAAGGAGUGGAGGCGAGGCUGUACAGAGUGCCGGAGACGCUUUCCGAGGAGGUCGUCGAGCAGAUGAAGGCGCCGGGGAGGGAUACGGGUGUUCCGGAGAUCACGUCGGGGGAGCUGGCGGAGGCGGAUGGGUUUCUGUUCGGGUUUCCGACGAGGUACGGGUGUAUGGCGGCGCAGAUGAAGGCGUUCUUUGACUCGACGGGGCAGCUGUGGAAGGAGCAGACGCUCGCCGGGAAGCCGGCUGGGUUCUUCGUGAGUACGGGGACUCAGGGAGGUGGACAAGAGACUACUGCGUAAGCAAAGCUAACUCUGUUGUUUCCUUUUAUGUCUGAAAGUAAAGUAGUUGACUUUGGAGUACAAGUGUUUAGUUCUUGUCAUCAAAGUUUUGUCUUUUGAUUGAGGCAUUGUCUGAAAUAAAUGAGUUAAGUACUAUCAGUUCUUGAACCUUGUCUAUAUCUUCCUGACCACCAAAAUUGGUUUAAAUAAAAAUGACUGGUCAUUAACGUGUCACAUGACGAUGAACAAUGUUUCGAUCGUAACUCACCACCAAAGCAACAAGAAAAAAAAAGAAGGAAAAAAAAAUUUUACCUGAAAAGUUUGUUGUGUUCAGGACAAUUGAAUUUAUAUAUAGUCUAUGUUGGUAGGAUAGGACUGUAAAAAUGAAAACUUUUAUUAGAUUUGAUUCUGUAAAAUAAACUUUAUAAGAAUUGAUCCAAAUUUGUCAGCACCAUAGUUGCUAAAUUUCUAGGCAUUUGCCUCCUGUAAAUUGCAUAUCUUGCAAUAGAUUCUUCAAUGUUGAAGUAGGUCGUGUUACAGUUGCCUCAUCAAAUGGGCAAUGAAAAUAUUGUCCUGUAUCGUGAGAGUUACGACAUAUGGUAUUUAAUUUACAACACGCGAUAACUUAUUAUAAAAGAAAGAAAACAAGUGCAAAUUGGUGAAGAGAAGUAGUUGCUUUAGGUCCCAGCAAAAAGAAAAAGAUAUAAAGCACAUGGUAGUUUUAGUUUCAGAUUCUAUGGAAUCUAUUCCCUUCUUCUUCUUCUUUUUGUAACUAGGCUUCUGUGAUAGUUUGGUUCCUUUACACAAAAUAUCUUUGCAAUUUCGUCUUGUACUGAUAAGCUAACAAGGUAAUAUAGAGAAGCAUAACAAUGUGGGAUCUUAAGAGCUAAAGAAAAACAAUGUGAGGUCUUAACAUCACAUGGCUUUUGUCAGAUCUUAACAAGUGUACAAUUAGAUGGUCCUUUAUUCUGCUAUUUUUAGUGUCAAUCUCUGAAACAUAUGAUGUGUUUGUUUUGCAGAUGGACAGCAAUAACACAGCUGGUGCAUCACGGGAUGCUAUUCGUCCCCAUAGGCUACACUUUUGGAGCAGGAAUUUUCAAGAUGGACUCCAUCCGUGGAGGGUCACCUUAUGGAGCUGGUGUGUUCGCUGGUGAUGGCUCAAGAGAAGCUACGGAGACAGAGUUGGCUCUUGCUGAACAUCAAGGAAACUACAUGGCUGCAAUUGUCAAGAGACUUGCACAACCUUGAGAAGAAAUACAAAAAACAACUUUGGUGGCUUCUUUAUUUUCUUGUUUUAUUUAAUUCUAUCCAUUUUUUUCUGAGUGUUUUUGAGUUUUGCCAUUCUCGGAAGAACAUUGAACCUAUCAUAAGGUUCUUACGUCAAUGGCCG